UGGGGAAUAUUGCACAAUGGGCGCAAGCCUGAUGCAGCCAUGCCGCGUGUGUGAAGAAGGCCUUCGGGUUGUAAAGCACUUUCAGCGAGGAGGAAGGUGGUGAACUUAAUACGUUCAUCAAUUGACGUUACUCGCAGAAGAAGCACCGGCUAACUCCGUGCCAGCAGCCGCGGUAAUACGGAGGGUGCAAGCGUUAAUCGGAAUUACUGGGCGUAAAGCGCACGCAGGCGGUUUGUUAAGUCAGAUGUGAAAUCCCCGGGCUCAACCUGGGAACUGCAUUUGAAACUGGCAAGCUAGAGUCUCGUAGAGGGGGGUAGAAUUCCAGGUGUAGCGGUGAAAUGCGUAGAGAUCUGGAGGAAUACCGGUGGCGAAGGCGGCCCCCUGGACGAAGACUGACGCUCAGGUGCGAAAGCGUGGGGAGCAAAACAGGAUUAGACACCCUGGUAGUCCACGCUGUAAACGAUGUCGAUUUUGGAGGUUGUGCCCUUGAGGCGUGGCUUCCGGAGCUAACGCGUUAAAUCGACCGCCU
rnacentral:rRNA from 1 species